UAUGUCAAUCUUGUUAUUUUUUUCUUUUUUCUAAAAGUAAACGAUCACGGGAGAGGGGAGAUGGGCGUGUAUGGUGUUAUUUUUUGCGUAUUAAUUAACUAUUUUUUCUUUUUAUUUCUUUUUUUUUUGAUUUAUUCUUUCAAAAUUGUCGUACAUUAAAAUUCCUAUUCUUCUUUUGCCACCGUAAAAUCUUAUAUGAUUAAAUAAAAUGUGUAUAUUAAAACUAGUAGCAAUGUAUGAUGUAACAUAUAGUCAAUGGGUUCAACUGAUCUCAAUAUUUUCAACAUGAAAAAUAGAUAUAGAUGUAAGAAAAUUACUAUUUUAAAAAAAAAUUGAACUUAUAAUUCCAAAAGUGUAAUGGGUACGCAAUCGUAAGAAUUAAAGGUUGAACCCAUAAAAUUUAUAUUCUGGAUUCACCUCUUCUUAAUAGUGCACCCGCCCUGCCAAAAUCAUGGAUCCGCUUCUGUAAUAUAUACUGAGUAUGUAGUAUCUCUCUUUAUAUCGAAUAGUUUAAUUGAUAGAGUGGAAAAAACAUGUUUACCUUCAAAUAAAAUCAAAUGUAGCUAAUUGAACGUGAUUUCUCCUUUUAAAAUAAUCUCGGAUAUAAUUAACUUUUACAAUUAGAAAAACUUUUUCAGCUUUGACUAAUGAAUGAAUACAGGACACAUGUCUUUUAUAAAAUGAAUGAGUAUCAGACACGUGUCUUUUAUAUAUACAUUUAUCACAUAAUUAUAGUUAAGUGGUAUAGUUAAGUGGUAUAUACUCUAUUUAACUUUUAAUUGGUAUAGCUAAAUUACUUAAUUUGGUGUAAACAGUGUUUAUCCGAAUAACUUAUGUGAUUGAGUUUAAUCAAAAUAAUGCUUCUAGCGCAUCCAUGGGAAUUACUUGGGCGUUUUGACAGUUUAGAACAAGUCACAUGAAACCAUGCAACUUUCUUGCAGAUCUUUAGGAUUAUGUCUUUAAGAGAUUAUGGAAAUUUCAAUGUUUUUUAACACUUCUUUUCUCUGUUUAUUCACAUUCAAGGAAAAAGAAGAAGUAUUUAAUUUCUCCAUUUACUUUGGAAAUUAAGAAAUGGACAACCUGUUUGGUGAAAUAGAUUGUAGAUCAAAGUCAGAUGGAAUAGUGAUGGGAAUUCUAAGAUCUGCCAUGGACAAAGCACAUGAAAAGGUCCAAUCUGAAGCUGGAUCCAUUGAGUUUCUUCACGAGAGAUCAAAGUUCUAUGAAUUAGCAGUGAUCCUUGUAGAAUCAGGUCUAAGCAUUGUUCAAGAAGAAACUGAUAUUCUUGAAAGCAACCGCGAAAAGGUCAUCUCAGACUUAACAGAAAUGAGGCAUUGGCUCUUGGGAAGGAUUAAGGUAAUGAAACUCUUAAUCACUGAGAAAGAUAGAGAAUUAACAGAGAGGACUGAAAAUGAGUUAAAGCUCAGACAGAUUUUGGAAUCCAAAGAAAGAGAACUUGUUUUUAUUCGCGAGAAACUUGAGCUUCAGAGAACAAAGAGUGAAGGGUCCCAAGAUUUGCGAUUAGUGCUAAAGAAUGGAGCUAAAGAAGGUGAAACUAGUGACUCGAAAUCUGAUUCAGAGCUUCUAAAUGAGGGAAGUUGUCAAAAUGACUUGUAUGGACGUUACCAUAUUCCUGAAAUAAAGCCAAUGACUGAUCAUUCAUUAAGGCCUGAAAAGAACAAUGUGAUUCAACAGAUGAGUUCUGAUAUAGACAUUUUAAAAGAAACCUUGGAUUUUGCAUUUGGGAGAAGGGAUAAUGGUGAGAUGGUUCCUUUAGAGAAGCAAUGGAGGUGUACCAUUGAGAAAGAUACAUUAUCUGUCUUGAUAAAAGGAUUCAUAAAUGAUAUCCAACAAAGAUUUGAAUCAGAGUUGAGGAAGAGGGGUGAUCAAAUUCCACUUGAAUUUUCAAAUGAGAACUUAUCAGAAUCUAUCUGUGAGAUAACAGCGUUGCGCCAUGAACUAGAGACCUUCUAUCGUAGACAUGAGGAGGAAAGGAAAACAAUGAACAAGAAAGAUAUCUUAGGCCAAAAGUUGCCCAAGGUUCGUCGAACGUGUAGUGAGCCUUUGCCAAAAGUUGCUCAUCAACUGCCUGAUCAGGAGGACCAAGAGGCUGGUGGAAGUAAUUACGUUGCUAAGAUUAAGAAUCAUGAGUCAAUUAAAAAGAAGCAGUUCGAAGAUCGAAAUUGUAAAUCCAUCUUACACAAGAAAGACAUGGAACUUGAUAUCUUGGACAGAAUGAUAAAAGAUGUCAUCACAAGAUUGGAUGCUAUAAUAAGCUCCCUGAACGUUAAGUCAGUCGCUAAAAAACAUGUGAAAGAGGAAGAAAACUUUCGUAAGGAAAAUUUAUCCAAUUCUUUCAUUGGAGAUAAAGUGGAAAGUAGUGAUUGUGCUUGUGAAAUUUUGAGAGAUGAGGUGAAAUUACUAAAUGAAGAGGUGGAUAAUUUAAAUUUGCAGAUAUCAAUCUUGGAAGAGAUUCAUUUGAUCCUUUAUGAAGGUUUGUUGAAAGACCAGAAUGUUGCUUAUUUUGAGUCAAUUAAAAACACUAAAAGUACUAUUACUUUCUUGCUAAACCAAUUUGAUGCAAAAGAUGAAAAUGCAGAAACAUUUAUUAAGGGCUUAAAAGAUGGCAACAUCUUACCAGAGACUAUAGGGAGCACAUUGAAAGAGGAUGUCUACAUGGUAUUCUUCUUUGAAAUGGUUAAGGAAUGGAAGGAGGAAAAAGAUGAUUUUUAUAUGGAAAUUCAAAUAAGAGAAGAUAUAUACAAGUUUAUCAUGGUUGAGGCUGUGAAAGAUGUACAUACCAAAAUUUCAGAAUAUUUGAAUCCUGCUUAUAAGAAGGUGGAAAUUGAUGGAACUGAGGAAAGCCUGAUUCAAAAGCUUGAUUCUUUGUUAAAAUGUCUCGAGUCAGAGGAAGAUCUAAUGGCGAAAGCAAGUUCUGAGAUAGAAGAACACAAUGUGCGUCAUGAACAAGAAAUCUUGGAAUGUGAAGAGGUUGAGGAGCGCGAGACUAUUGAAUGGCUGUUGAAUGAUGAUGAGUGCACUUUCACUUGUGUGAACGAAAAACUAGAGAUCGCGAUGAGACAAUUGUCUACAAGCAAAGAAUUGUUGUUUGAUUUGGAACAAAGUCUUGGAAUUUCACCUGAUUUGUUAGCAAAAAGUACUGAUGAUUGCCUACACACAAACAGAAGUGUUGUGUCUCAAACUGAAGAACCAAAAGAGCUCAAUAUUGGUGAAGUAGAGGAUGAUAAAAUGUCAGUUAUUAAUCCAUCUGAUGUUUUGGUCUUAGCACAGCUAGCAGAUUUUGAUCAAGUGAUUCAAAAAUUUGAGGUCAAUGUAGUUCACAAUCUAGACGCUAAAUCGUCGAGGUGGAUUUGCUGGGGGAUCAGGUAGAAGCACUUUUGCAUCUGCUUGAGAAAAUAUACGUGAUACUGGACCAAAAUUCAACUGUUUUAUCUUGCCAUUUUCAGGUGUUUGACAUCUUAAAACUCAUCAAAGACAAGUUGGGAGAUGCAGUUGCUUGUGUAUCUACUUCUUAGUAUAUAAAAUCCAAUAUUUAAUUUUUGUAUAACAUGCUCAUUUGCUUAUAUGAACGUAGAAUCUUCUUUCUUUUGUGAACUACCAGCAGUCCAGCACAUAAGAAUUAUGCAAGUCAUCAUUAGAAGCGGGUUUACGACCAUUUAAUAACCACAUUGUAUCAUAUUGUGUUUAUAUUUACAUAUCAUAUGUGUUAGGCUUGGA